UUCAGAUCGCACUGGUUCACCCCAAGAGCGAGUUGAGAUCCAAAUUGUGGUCACAAUUAAGUGGUUCAAUGGCGAAAAGGCGCAAUUCCACAAAAAUACGAACGCCUCAGAUCUCUCCGCAGUGAAAACUCGCGAAGAUAAAGUUAGUUAAGACGUUGUCGAGUGAUUCGGUCGAGGACAGGCUACGUGCGAUGGGAAGGACAGAGGGAAAAUAAAGAUAUUCUAUGGAAAAGACACGCAAUACGAGCGCGUAGAAAUAGCAAAGCGGACAAUAAUUUUCCGGGACCUGCCAAUGACUUCUGACCUUUUCUACCUAUCCCAUUCCUUCUUUUUUCUCCAAAUGUUAAAAGGCCUGUGAACAUGUCGGAGAAUAAGGUGCAUUUUCGGCAUAUUUUGCUUUACUACUUCAAGAAAGGCAAGCGAGCUGCAGAGGCCCACUGAAAGAUAUGCGGCGUAUACGGGGACGAUGCCUUAACAGAACGUGUCGCUCAGAAAUGGUUUGCCAAAUUUCGUUCCGGAGAUACGAGUCUUGAAGAUGGACCCCGCAACGGUCGGCCCACCGAGGUUGAUUCGAAUGAUAUCAAGGCACUGGUUGAGCAAGACCGGACGCUAAAGAUGUGAGAGAUUGCGGAGACACUUAAAAUAGGUUAUGGAACCGUUCAAAGGCAUUUGCAACAGCUUGGCUACGUGUCCCGCCUCGAUGUUUGGGUGCCGCACAAGCUGACCGAGCUGACCUGGCCAACCGCAUAUCCAUCUACAAUUCACUUCUGAAGCGGCACGAAAGCGACCCGUUUCUCAAACGAAUAGUGACUGGCGACGAAAAGUGGAUCAUCUACGACAACAUAGUGCGCAAAAGAUCAUGGGGAACCGCUGGCGAGCCGCCGAAUGCCACCCCGAAAGCCGGCCUGCAUUCGAAGAAGAUUUUGCUAUCCAUAUGGUGGGAUCAUCGUGGUGUGCUGUUUUACGAGCUGCUUUCUCAGGGAAAAACGAUCGAUCCGAAGGUCUACUGCACGCAGCUAACGAAAUUGAAUCAAGCAUUGCGACAGAAACGUCCAGAACUGGUCAAUCGCAAAGGUGUCAUAUUCCACCAUGACAACGCCAGACCCCACACCGCAAUAAUCACUCAGCAAAAAUUAGUGCAACUUGGCUGGGAUGUUUUGCCCCACCCACCGUAUUCACCAGACCUUGCGCCAUCCGACUACCACUUGUUCCGGUCCCUGCAAAACUCCCUCAACGGGAAAUCGUUCGCUGAUCAGACAGCUGUGAAAACGUACCUCGACCGGUUUUUCGCCUCUAAGCCCCAGACUUUCUAUGAGAGCGGAAUAAUGAAAUUGUUGGAAAGAUGGCAAGAGGUCAUCAACAAAAACGCAGAAUAUAUCAUUGAUUAAAAUUCAUCCUUUGUAUGAAAAAAACUUGUUUCAUUUUAGCCUUCAAAAACCGAACGAAUGGAUCCACCCAAUAGUUCCAAAUAUCAUACAUUUUUCUCUCAGUGUACAAACAGUACCAAUAAUAUAG